UGAGCAGAAUCACCAUUUUGAUCGUCGUCGAUUUGACAUGGAAGACUUUCAUGAAUGCUAUUAUAACUUGGCCUGCUGAGGGCUAGGAUAGUCCCUAAACAAAAUCUGGAAGCCGUUCCGCCAGAGAUUUUUCCGUCAUGUUGCAGCAGAGCCACUUUUCUCAAUUUUGCGUCGUCCAGAAUUUAUGAUUUUUGGAUGCCAAAAUAUUUGAUGGCGUGAGAACCAAAAAAGAACUACCGGACACCGCCCAGACCUCAGGAGUCAGGAUUAUGCCGUCUACUGAACAUUGUCGCAUGCGUUCCUAUAGAGCAAGCUGGCUGCUCUCCAUCUUGAUUAUGGACCUCAAGUGUGGACCCAACUGGUCAGAGAAAUGAAGGGACAAUCGUCAUGGUGUACUCUCAGACUCAGGCCAAGGAUAUGCCUUGUGAAAUGUGCCAUAUGCAGUUACUAGAGGGAUUGUCUCGUUCUUUUUCAAGCUGUUCGGUCACAGGCAAUACUGUCACAUCCCAUGCACGGCUGAACUGAUUAAGAGUACGUGCACACCCGUGAUGUCCUUUGCCGAGGAAUGUGGUCCAGCGUUUCGAACACAGCACGCUGACCAUUUUCAGCUCGUUUGUAGUGGAUUGUGUGAGUUUGUUCUGGUGGGAUUCGUAGCCGUGUUUAAACAAGCCACUGGAGACAGAUUUUCAGUGCCUCUGUCUUGGUUGAGGUUUUUCCAAUCAUAUUCUGUGCACAUAUGGGUAUCCAAGUGCCUAUCGAGUCUCAUGGUCAUGGUCACUGCAUACAGAUCCAUGUGGCUCUCGAAAACAGUCUUCUGUUUGAUGGCCAGGCCUGGUGAUGUUUUCCUAAUUUGGUCACUCUAUCUUAUGCCGACAUUCAGUGUGUAAAUGCUGGUGCUGGCUAGACUGUGAAGUAUGGGGAAUGACACACGUGCUUUUCUCAAGAUGCUCGUGUAGAAUUCAUUCCCUUUGACCGAAAGCUUGUGUUCCCAGAUCCUGUUUGUAGCUGUACAUAAUUUCGCCGUUCUUCCAAGUUGUGGUUAACUUUCGCCUCCGACUAUCCCUAACCAUCAUCUCAUUGGUGCGUCUGUCCAUGACGUGGCUGGCUGGCAUCGAAGUUGGGCACUGCCCUGUCAUCCACUGGCAUAGUGUUGAACCUAACUGACUUUUAUGUCACAUACUAGCUGGAAGUUGUUUAAAGGGUUCGGUUUCAGUCUUUUUUAUAUAGUAGCUUUACCAUUCCUAUUACUUAGCUAUUUCCUUUUCUCGGCCUUAGGACACUUUCUUCACCAUACACUGUGUUUCUUUGGCCGUAAAAGAGGCAAUCUGCACUUGUAUUGAGUUUCCUCAUUGUGAUGGAGAUGGAAAAGAAAGCACACAUAUAGCACUUCCUGCCUGUGUCUCGGCUAUAAGCACUUUUAGCUGCUACCAUGUGGUUGACUGAAACCAGGGUGUGCCAGAUUAUUGAUCAAGAAUGCAUGCUGCAGCUCGGCUGUUUUGUUCCUUUUCUUAUGUAGAUCUACAGUGAAGGAAUCGAAAUCGCAUGUAACGUUCAA